rnacentral:rRNA from 1 species
UACGUAGGUGGCGAGCGUUGUCCGGAAUUACUGGGUGUAAAGCGCGUGUAGGCGGCAGGCCAAGUCGGUGGUGAAAGCGCCCGGCUCAACUGGGCGAGGUCCAUGGAAACUGGUCAGCUGGAGGACGGUAGAGGCGAGUGGAAUUCCCGGUGUAGUGGUGAAAUGCGCAGAUAUCGGGAGGAACACCGGUGGCGAAGGCGGUUCUCUGGGCCUGUACUGACGCUGAGGAGCGAAAGCGUGGGGAGCGAACAGG